GAAUAGCACUGCCAGAAACUCUGAGCUUAAAUGCAUUCAGAAACGUGCACUUUGUAGAAGAACGCAUUGCAAUGUGUAUUUAAUACGUGGUUAAACAUGACUUUUGUGCCUUCAGAACACCAUCACUGAUUCUUGUGGAAACAGGCUGGGAGAGUUUUAUGAAUGAACACACUGGAAACAGACAGGAACCAGAAAUUGACCGGACUGUCCAUCUCUUUCUUCCACUGAGCUUUGCUGAUGCAAGCUGUGUAUAGUGAUGCUGUUUUUUUCUGGAGUACUAGCACCACAUCUGGGGAUGAAACAGGAGUGAAAUUCCAAUCAUGCCUUGCCUCUGAACCUCACAGAUACAGUGCCAGGCCAUUGUUGGUACUUGUGGAACAAAGCAACCUGGGAGCUGAGUGGUACAUUUGUGGUCAACCAGGCAUAAGGUAACCAGGAUCUCUGGAGGGUUCUUCCUCAGAGCUACCAUCAAAGACAGGAGUGAUUGGACACCUGCUGUGCACCCACUGGAACACUUUCUCCUCUUCUUCACUGCAAUCUGCUUGGUCCUUGGACAACUGUGGUGGCCGCUGCUAAGUUGCUCACUCACUCUCUGCCUGUCCAGCGAGCAAGCAAGCCAUAUGACGAGGAGAGGGUGCUGGAGGAGCAGGAACAACUGAGGACAAUGAUGGUCAGAAGGUAGACUCCUUGAAGGAGGGGGGCUCCUGAGUGGGAAUUGUCCAGAGCCCUCAGAACCUGGAACCAGCCUGAUGAUUUGCAGCAGAUGAUUCAGGGUUUCUGAGUCUGUUUUAACAGUUUUAACAACAGUGCCAGCAAAUUUCUCCAUCAUCUCCAUCUCCUCUUGCAAGGAAUGCAAGAUAGUUUACAAGCCUCUCUUCCCAUUUAAUCCUCUCAACAGCAGCCCUGUGAGGUAGGUCAUACAGAGUCCAUGACUGGUCCAAAGUCACCAAGUGAGCUUCAUGGCCAAGGGGGGACCAGAACUCAGAAUUCCUGGUUCCCACUUCAUUACCUACACUGGUUCUCCAAGAACCUCCAUCCCAACUUCUGAAAUGAAGAAAGUCUGGGGGAACCAGGAGUAGAUUUUUGUGUGGAAGGACCAAGGAAGGAUAGUUUGAGCUCUCAAAGCAAAUUUCUGGGCUCAUCCAUCUUCCACAUUAAAUAAACCUUUGUUAUAUCAGGUUAUGAUCGAUGGGUCAGCUCAAAAACGAAGGAGAUCCCUGCCAGCCUG